UUGACAGAAUAGUUUUUAUAUUUUUUUACUUGUAUUUUUGUAUUUUGUGUUGUGUUUUUUAUGGCCGUAAUAGUAGGCCCGAAACCAAUGUGGAGAUUCCCUGAUCGAUUUGAUGAGACUCGUAUUUCAAUUCCAAAUUAUCCAGGAGAAGAAAGAUAUAUAUGUGAAGAUUUAAGUAUUUAUAAACCUUUAUGUUUUGGCACACUGAGAGAAAGAAGCACUGAUCCAAUUGGUCCCAAAUUAUCUCCCUUUCAGAAAAAAAUUACUAUCGAAUAUCGACCCAAUAUUGGACCAGCUACCUAUUACAAUCCUAAAAAUGAUUUUGUUGGAAUUAUGUCAAGGAAAACAUGCAGCCAACUUGGAACCGGAUUUUUUGCAAGUAAAACGGUAGAACGGAAAGAAUCUUUUUUAAGUCCACCUUCAACGAAGUAUCAAAAGGUGUAUUACCAUCGAAAACGAAAAUCAAAGUCUUUUCCUUUCACUUCAAAAUUAGAUAGAUUUAUGGUAAAAAUUAAUUGUGUACCAACACCUGGCACAUACAAUAUAGAUAAACAAUUUUUACAUAAAUAUACUGAAAUGAGAAAAGGAAAAGUUGUAUCUCUAGCUUGUGUUGAGACAUUUUGCAGCAUAUUUACUAAUCAUGUGUGUCUCAAAUGUAAAGCUGCUUGCGAGAACGAUUAUUGGCACGAAAAUUUUAAAAUUUUUCUCUGCCACUUAUGCUGGCUUGAAGAAAAGCAUCGGAGUGAUUCGUUUACAAUGGAUGAGUUAAAGAAAUUUAAAAAAAUUCGAACUUGUCAAGAUAUACAUGUUCAUGAAGGAACAACGAUCACCAAAACUUUAUGUACGAAGGGGCGCAUAAUUAAAUUACGUAAUCUAGAAAAUUAUUUAUGAAUCCCUUAUUAAUACAAGUGCCUUUUAUCUAUCAGUAGUCUGUCGGUAGUUUGUCGCUUGAGCAUCUGGACAACCUUGUGAGUCAUCGAACAACCUUGUCUGUGCUGUAUUUUUAUCAAAUAUUUUUUUUUAAUCAAUGCAUUGCAAUGUUUGAACGGUCACUAGAAGAUACCAAGACAAUUUUAAACUGAAAAUUCCUUGGUUUAUGCAUGGUACCAGUUUGUGAUAACCACAUUAAUACCUUCUUUCUGAAAUACAAUUUUAUUUAUA